rnacentral:rRNA from 1 species
CGCGGUAAUACGUACGGGGCAAGCGUUAUCCGGAAUCACUGGGCGUAAAGGGUCCGCAGGUGUCCCGUUAAGUUAGAUGUUAAAUCGCAAGGCUCAACCUUGCGGCUGCAUCUAAUACUGACAGGAUAGAGGAUAGGUGACGGAAGUGGAAUUCCUGGUGGAGAGGUAAAAUCCGUAGAUAUCAGGAGGAACACCCGUGGCGUAGGCGGCUUCCGAACCUAUUCCUGACACUCAGGGACGAAAGCUAGGGGAGCAAACAGGAUUAGAUACCCUGGUAGUCCUAGCUGUAAACGAUGAAUACUAGAUAGUGGGUGCUACACCGUACUCACCGUCGUAGCUAACGCGUUAAGUAUUUCGCCUGGGAACUACGAUCGCAAGUUUGAAACUCAAAGGAAUUGACGGGUCCCCGCACAAGCAGCGAGGCAUGUGGCUUAAUUCGAUGCAACACGAAGAACCUUACCUGGACUUGACAUGUUUCUGAAAGGCCGGAGAAACCCGGUCCCUUCCAGUUUACUGGAACAGUUUCACAGGUGGUGCAUGGUUGUCGUCAGCUCGUGUCGUGAGAUGUAAGGUUAAGUCCUUAAACGAGCGUAACCUUUGUCAUUAGUUGCCACCGGUUCGGCCGAGCACUCUAAUGAGACCGCUAGCGACAAGCUAGAGGAAGAUGGAGAUGACGUCAAAUCCUCACGUCCCUUAUGUCCAGGGCCGCACACAUGCGACAAUGGUAGAGACAGCGGGUUGCGACGGGGUAACCCUGAGCUAAUCCAUAAACUCUGCCUCAGUACAGAUCGAGGGCUGAAAUUCGACCUCGUGAAGAUGGAGUUGCUAGUAAACGCAGGUCAGCUAUACUGCGUUGAAUACGUU